UGUACUCAUUUAAAAUUUUCUUCCAGAAUUAACAGUAUUGAAGGGUCAGACAGGUUGGUGGAGGAGGUGAUGAAAAAAUGGAAGAAUUUGAAGGUAUACUCUGAAUUUCAUUUGAUGAUCUAAAAAUGAAUGUGAAGUUAUCAAAUACAGAAAAUCUCUGUGGAGUCAGUCUUUGUACAAAAUGUCUGUUAUUUUAGCACUUUGUUCCUCAUUUAAUCAUUUACAUAACUAUAUAUAGUAACCAUACAGGGGACCUCAGUUUAAACCCUCGUCUAGAAUUACAAGUUUCAACUUCUUGUGUGAAACUGAUUCAGCUAACCAGGCUGACAAUAAAAUAUAUGUUUUAUAUAUUUUUGUCAACAUUUAUAUUUCAAACAUCAUUACAAUGUCUUAUGUAGAGUCAGACAAAGGAGGAGGAGCAGAUCAGGAGGAAGUAAAUGGGGAAGACAGGUUGAGGUGGGGCAGUGAAUUCACUGAGAGAUUGGGAAGAGAAGAUAAUAUCAAUAAUACCAUCUGCCGUAAUAGAAGGAAUCAAUGAUGGGCAGGACAUAUUCAAUAAGAAUGCUGAAGGUGCCAAGGAAACACAUGUGCAACCAAGUACCAGUGAGACCGUUGUGCAGGGGGAGGGGGAGGAGACAGUGGUAAUCCACCCAAGUACUAUUCAUGUACAGGUUGAAAGCAGAAAAGAAGUUGUAGAUGAAGGGAGAGAGAGCAUGCUUUUACUGUUUAACAAACUAUCAAUGACUUCAAGUGGUUUAGCGUCUAAUUUACCACAGUUAACUAAUGAAGCAUCUGAACUCUAAACCAUGGUAAAUGAGAGGAUAAAUCACCAGAAGGCCUUGAUUGUUUUCAUUCUGACAUGCUCAUUGACAUACCUUAAUAAAUAUUAUGCUGGACUUUAUUUUCCUGCUGAGUAAUGUAAUAUAGACGUCAUGUGGCAAUUUGACAUCAUAACUGAUGUCAUAAUGUUCUCUUAUGGGUCUGCGCAUAUGGACCUUGUAUGUAAAGUAGAUAAAAUGACGAGAGUUUAAGGCUAUAUCAAUAAAGAAUACACUGAAUAUGAACUUAACUACUUUGUAGCUAGGACAUCUUUUAGGGCCUUAUUGUUGAAAUCUAUUGGAGAGAGAUAAGCUUAGUGUUGCAUUUGAAAGCUG